GUGAGAACUGUGGAGGAGAGGCAUCAUUAUGGAGGAAUCCUAAUUGUAAAUCAAACCACAUAAUUUCUUCCAUCCCCAAAUUAGCAGUAUAAGAUACAUCUUCAUAGUGGACAUGAGAAUCAAUUGUUUCCUUCCCUGAUGAACGACUUAACCAUGUGUUAACCCGGUGAAAGUUUAUUCCCCAAGUAUUUGCAUUGGUGCUUUGAACUGCGGCACAGGACUAGAAGUGAACUGCUGGAGGCAGGAAAGUUUCAUAGUCCAACUUCUUUGCCAAAACCAAGGUAUGCUGUUAACUUCAUCCUGGAGUUGCACUCAUCCUCUUCAGGACAAGAAUUUUUGACAAAAAGGAGUUUAUUUUUUGAAAGAUGCUGUUGGAGAACUCACAGAAGGCCCACGUAUGGUCCCAUGCUGUGUAGCUCCACACUUGGGGUGACCCCUUCUGGUACCUCGGUGUAUAGCCUUUGUCUCUCUAAGCAGAGUCUCUUCUUACAAGUGAGACAGAAGAGAGCAUUGGUUUUCAGCAGAAAGCGGAAAAGCAUCCACAUGUCUAUGCAUCCACUGCCCUCUCCACCUCUAUAUGUGGGGCUGACUAGGUCUAGCAGCCACUGUGAAAACGUUACAGAGGGAUCUUUUCUCUUCAAAUGCUCUGUGCAAUAUUACAAUACAACUUUAAUGGGGUUUUUCAUCUAUUUCCUUCAAGGAUUCAUUAUACAGUGCCGUAAGAGACAGAGGUCUUUCAGUUCUGCAUCACUACCCUUUUCUGUAUAUCAGUUCUAG
ensembl:lncRNA